UCGGGAAUUUUGCUCAAUGGGCGAAAGCCUGAAGCAGCAACGCCGCGUGAGGGAUGAAGGCCUUCGGGUUGUAAACCUCUUUUUUCAGGGACGAUGAUGACGGUACCUGAAGAAUAAGUCACGGCUAACUACGUGCCAGCAGCCGCGGUAAU
rnacentral:rRNA from 1 species